rnacentral:rRNA from 1 species
UACGUAGGGUGCGAGCGUUAAUCGGAAUUACUGGGCGUAAAGCGUGCGCAGGCGGUUUUGCAAGCCGGAUGUGAAAUCCCCGGGCUUAACCUGGGAAUGGCAUUUGGGACUGCAAGGCUGGAGUGCGGCAGAGGAGACUGGAAUUCCUGGUGUAGCAGUGAAAUGCGUAGAUAUCAGGAGGAACACCGAUGGCGAAGGCAGGUCUCUGGGCUGACACUGACGCUCAUGCACGAAAGCGUGGGGAGCAAACAGG